rnacentral:pre_miRNA from 1 species
UUUCCACAGCCUCUACACAUGUGAGCCUUUCUUAAAGCGCAUGUGCAUAAGCUGUGGGAGCA